GAUUUCCUUAGUAACGGCGAGCGAAAGGGAAACUGUCCAGCGCCAAGUCUUGACACUUUGUGUUCAAGAGAUGCGGCGUUAAUGUGUUAAUGCCUCGUACGUUGUUUCAUGUUUCAAGUUCCUUUGACAGGGACAUCCAUAGCGGGUGCUAGGCCCAUAGAAACGCGAAACUGACGUAUGCAGAUUAAUACAUUCUAGAGUCAGGUUGCUUGAGAGUGCAGCUUAAAGUCGGUGGUAAACUCCAUCUAAGACUAAAUAUUACAGCGAGACCGAUAGCAAACAAGUACCGUGAGGGAAAGUUGCAAAGCACUUUGAAGAGAGAGUUCAACAGUACGUGAAACCACUGGGAGGCAAACAGAUGGAACCACGAAUGUUGCGCCUUGCUCAAUUCAUCUUUUGCUAUUGAUUAACAUUGUUUAGAUUGGGCUUUUUCGAAGGUUGUCUAAAUGAUGUUGAGAUUGAUGGCAAAAGUGCAUUUUGAAGUAAGGAUGCUAAGCCACGUUCAAUUAGAGUUGRGGCGGCCGUAGGAAAGAAUCUAAAAAAGGUGAUCGUUAUGUGCUUGCAUAUAGCGAUGUUAUAGUUUUAGAUUGGAACCGUCUUCUAACAAGCUAAUUGAUAAAAGUUCUCCUAAGGGAGUUAAUAUUUUUGUCGCCAAUGUUUGAUAUGUAAUUCUCUUGUGUGUACUUUAUGUAUUCUUGGAUAUAUAAAUGCAUAUUUGUAGCGUUAUAUAGAUGACAUUGUGUUGCAAGAAUAAACUGUGGCGUGAGUAGGUCGGUGUCCAUUUGACCCGUCUUGAAACACGGACCAAGGAGCCUAUCAUAUACGCGAGUCGCUCGGUCUUGUUUAGGCCAGAGAGGCAAAAUGAAAGUAAAACUACGAGACAUUUGUUGCAGUAGUGGCACGCCUACUUCGUUUAUUUGGCGAUCGGGCGUAGCUGGAGCGUAUACGAUGGUACCCGAAAGAUGGUGAACUAUGCCUGGGCAAGACGAAGCCAGAGGAAACUCUGGUGGAGGUCUGUAGCGAUUCUGACGUGCAAAUCGAUCGUCAGACCUGGGUAUAGGGGCGAAAGACUAAUCGAACCAUCUAGUAGCUGGUUCCCUCCGAAGUUUCCCUCAGGAUAGCAGGCGUUUAUUAGCAGUGUCAUCCGGUAAAGCUAAUGAUUAGAGGUCUUGGGGUUGAAACGACCUCAACCUAUUCUCAAACUUUAAAUGGGUGAGAUGGUUGACUUUCUUGAUUGAAGCCAACCAUUAGGAUGCAAGUGCCUAGUGGGCCAUUUUUGGUAAGCAGAACUGGCGCUGUGGGAUGAACCAAACGUCGAGAUAAGGCAUCAAAUGCAUACGCUCAUCAGACCCCAUGAAAGGUGUUGGUUGCUAUAGACAGCAGGACGGUGGCCAUGGAAGUCGGAAUCC
rnacentral:rRNA from 1 species